rnacentral:rRNA from 1 species
GACGAACGCUGGCGGCAUGCCUAACACAUGCAAGUCGAACGGAGAAUCGCUUCGGUGAUUCUUAGUGGCGAACGGGUGAGUAACGCGUAGGCAACCUGCCCUUUGGAUGGGGACAACAUUCCGAAAGGAGUGCUAAUACCGAAUGUGACGAUUUUACCGCAUGGUUUAAUCGUGAAAGAUGGCCUCUACAUGUAAGCUAUCGCGAAAGGAUGGGCCUGCGUCUGAUUAGCUAGUUGGUGGGGUAACGGCUUCACCAGUGGCGACGAUGUCGUAGGGGAACUGAGUAGGUUUACUCCCCCACACGUGGUACUGAGACACGGACCAGACUCCGUACGGGAGGCAGCAGUGAGGAAU